UCGGGAAUUUUGCGCAAUGGACGAAAGUCUGACGCAGCAACGCCGCGUGAGGGAUGACGGCCUUCGGGUUGUAAACCUCUUUUAUCAGGGAAGAUAAUGACGGUACCUGAUGAAUAAGUCACGGCUAACUACGUGCCAGCAGCCGCGGUAAUACGUAGGUGACAAGCGUUGUCCGGAUUUACUGGGCGUAAAGAGCGCGCAGGCGGUCGAUCAAGUCGAGUGUGAAAGCCCCCGGCUCAACUGGGGAGGGUCAUUCGAAACUGGUCGACUCGAAGGCAGGAGAGGGUAGUGGAAUUCCCGGUGUAGUGGUGAAAUGCGUAGAUAUCGGGAGGAACACCAGUGGCGAAGGCGACUACCUGGCCUGUUCUUGACGCUGAGGCGCGAAAGCUAGGGGAGCAAACGGGAUUAGAUACCCCCGUAGUCCCUGAGCGGGCUGGCAAGGCGCAU
rnacentral:rRNA from 1 species